UGGUGUGUGAGGAGCGAACCAGCAAGAACACCGAGACGAAACACGGCCAGUCGUCGGUGUUCUUUCUGAUUU
rnacentral:ncRNA from 1 species